UAAAAAGAAAAAUAUAUAUCACUAUGUCGUGAUCAAUAGACCAGCCGUCCAGCCCCAUCCUUUUAUAAUUGUAGUCUUCAGUUCUUUAUAUGUUCCUCCAUUCCAUAUAUAUACAUUAAAGUUCACUUGAUAAAUUGGUUUUUCUCUUAAAAUCAACCCCUAAACUUUUCAUCUUUCACACUCCAAGCACUCAAAGUUCCUUUUUCUAUAUUCUAGCCAUCUAACUUUCAAUCAUUCUUAAUUCGACUCUCAGUCUUUUCCACUACUUCCAUUCCACUCUCAGUCUUUCCUAUUUCUAAAAAAAGUGAAUAAAAAAUAAAAAAUAAAAAAAUCUGAUAAUAAUUAUUUUACAUAAAUUUAAACACUAAUAACAGAAAAGCCACAUUUCAUCUUUCUGAUAGGAUGAACUAUGCCCAUGUUUAGGAUGACCCAAACUAUUCUACUGAUUCCGCUGCAGUUGGAU
rnacentral:lncRNA from 1 species